CUGUACAGUACAUACAGCACAAUGUGUAGGUACAUGGCAUGUGUUCAGGCGUAAUAGAAUCGCACAAAAACAUAGACACCGAAAUCAAGCGUUUUGAUGGGUGAUAGAAACGCCGCAAGAAAUGGACGACUACCUUAGGAAGAGUUUCGAACCCAUCUUCUCCUAGACGCCUUAUAGCGAAACAUCGGUACAACAAAUGCAGCGAACUGCGGGCAAAGGUACCGCUUCAUGCAAAUAUACACUCCACGCUGCUUACAGUAAACGGGAGCCGGCCAUUCAUGGUUGAAGGAUAUGACAUUUAAUGCUUGAUGUCGCACAUGUAUUGUAAUGUUUAGUUGAAAAGAUAUUUAUGUUAAAUGAAC